CCUGCGGAAGGAUCAUUAUCGAACUAUCGAGGGUUGUUGCUGGGUGUCGAAGGACACCAUGUGCACGCCUUCACGAUUUUCAAACCCCUGUGCACCUAUUGUAGGCUGGUCGUAGGGCUGACUCCGGUCGGUCUGAAAGCCAGGCUAUGUUUACACACGCUUCAGUCUAAGAAUGUCAUUUGCGGAUAACGCAUUGUAUACAACUUUCAGCAACGGAUCUCUUGGCUCUCGCAUCGAUGAAGAACGCAGCGAAAUGCGAUAAGUAAUGUGAAUUGCAGAAUUCAGUGAAUCAUCGAAUCUUUGAACGCACCUUGCGCUCCUUGGUAUUCCGAGGAGCAUGCCUGUUUGAGUGUCAUGGAAUUCUCAACCUCUCUCACUUUUGUGGCGGAGGCUUGGACUUGGAGGUCGUGUCGGCUUGCGAAAGUCGACUCCUCUGAAAUGCAUUAGUGCGAGCCUUACGGAUCGCUUCGGUGUGAUAAUUGUCUACGCCGUGGUGUGAAGUAUCUCUGUGUUCGCGCUUCUAACCGUCCGCGAGGACAACUUUUAACAUCUGACCUCAAAUCAGGUAGGACUACCCGCUGAACUUAAGCAUAUCAAUAAGCGGAGGAAAAGAAACUAACAAGGAUUCCCCUAGUAACUGCGAGUGAAGCGGGAAAAGCUCAAAUUUAAAAUCUGGUAGCCUUCGGUGCCCGA
rnacentral:rRNA from 1 species